GGGUGAUUAGCUCAGGUGGUAGAGCAGCUGACUCUUAAUCAGCGGGUCGUAGGUUCGAGCCCUACAUCACCCA
rnacentral:tRNA from 1 species